rnacentral:misc_RNA from 1 species
GUUGGCUCCAAGGUUUCCAAGUUCAGAGUCGGAGAUCGCGUUUGUUCCUUCGCUGGCGACGGUUCUUUUGCUCAAUUCAUCGUUGCCGAUGAGUCUCGACUAUUCCAAGUACCUGAUGGAUGCGAUCUGGUGGCCGCCGGCGCACUUCCGGUUGCGUUCGGGACCUCGCAUGUUGCUCUUGUACAUAGGGCCAAGUUGGCUCCUGGACAGGUGCUGUUGAUUCUCG